GCCUGGGUGGCUUAGUUGGUUGAGUGUCCGACUUCAGCUCAGGUCAUGAUCUCACAGUUCGUGGGUUCGAGCCCCACGUUGGGCU
rnacentral:tRNA from 1 species